UUAAACUGCAAGGGUCUGGAGAGAGAAGGGGGCAUGUUAACUGCUUGGAAUAUAGGGGAUACUUGGUCUGGCUUACUAGAGGGAGACUGGUGCCUCCCUAGGCUGAGUUGAAUUUUUUAAGCUGUAUUUUGAGUAUUUUUGGUUAUGUGUCUCUGUGUGGGCAUGUGCAUGUGACUGCAGGUGUUAUUGGAGGCUGAAGGCAUCAGAUGUCCUGGUGCUAAUAUUACAGGCAAUUGUGAACUACCCAACAUGGGUGCAGGAGGCACCUUCCUGCUGCUUUGGGAAAUGGGAGGUGGGUGGUUCUCUUGUCUUGAUACCAUCAUAAGCAUACUUCUGUUUACAAAUCAGCAAAUUUCAUUCUGACAAAGGUGGCCAGACAAGUAGAAUGUACACAGACUCUUCCCUGAAACUGUUAGUGUGUUUAAGGCAGUAAGAGACUGUAUAGGCAUUUCCAGUGUCGGGCACACAUGCUCGGUUGGCUGUCUUUUUCUCUUAGAGCUUUUUUUUUAAAAUUAGGUUUAUUCUUUUGAUUUUAUGUGAGUGUUUUGACUACAUGUGUGUAUGUACACCGCAUGCAUGCUUGGUGUCCAUGAAGGUCAGGGUUCCGGAUGGUUGUGAGACACCAUGUGGGUAAUGGAAGUUGAACCUUGGUCUUCUGCAAGGGCAACAAAUGUCCUUGCUGGCUGAGCCAUCUCCCUAUCCCCUUAGUGACUUAGUAGUGCUAGUCUACUGGGUUCAGAACAUGUGUGUCUGAGAGAUGUCCCCACCCCAUUAGGUCACCUAUGAGCUGAAUGAAUUUAAACUCAGCUCCUAAUCUCACAGGUCUCAGUGGGUCCUGGAGACUGCACUCAGGUCACUGGGCUUGAUGGCAAGUGUCUUUUCCUGGCGAGCCAUCUCACCAGCCAGAGACCUCUGCUCUUAAAAAAUAAAUACAAUGUAAAUGAUACGAAUAGUCCUUUAAAGGUUAUUUCCAGGCUACCUACUGUGUGCCAGGCCUUCUUCCAGAUGUCUGGCUGUGCCCAUGAACCUCACAUUCCAGAUAGCUGUACUGCCUCAUCAGCUUUUGAGAGAAUUCAUAGGACAAUACACAAAAUGUGCACACUCCCAGCCUGGCCCCCAGCGGUUGCUGCUUCAUCAUCAUUCUCUAGAGUGUGUCUCCAUGACAACCAAGAUAAACACGCCUCCCUAAAGGAGGGGGCCGGUGAAUCCUUGAACUUACUGCUGAGAGGCUGAACCUUUUGGAAUAAAGAUAGAGGGCCGGCUGGGGAAAGAACGGCCUUUGAGUGCACAGUCGCAGGGUUAAGUCAGCCAUGAAAUUAACGAGGAGUUAAGCCGACUUCCUUCUAGUCACAUCUCUGUGGCUAGGCUGCUGGGAUAAAUGUCUCCCACAAGGUAACCCCAUGUCUUCAAGGGAAGCAUCCCUUCUUGGGGUCACUAUUUUCCAUGUGAAACAGAAUGCAGGAUUCUGCGGCAGACCCAGCCCUGAUGGUCCCUGCAUUAGAGGUCUACUCUGGCCUCCAGGUCAAGAGCACAGACCAGCUCUCUUACAGCGCACCAAGUGCAGCCUGGCUCCCUCCACCUGCCCUGUUGCCUGAACUGGGAAGGAGCCUGAGGCAGGGGACACACAUCUUCUUUAGGUGGCUCUGCCCUGCCCCCACCUGUUGCACCCAUCCCUAACCAUUGUGCCCAGCCUCAGCCUCUGACUGGAUGGCAGGCAUUGCUCCUACUUCACAUCCAAAUAGAAACCACAGCUUCCAUCUUCCCAAAUAAGCAGCCGAACAAUCCCAUCCAUAAGGAACAGCCCCAGACGAGGAGGCAAGCAAUGGAACUUGUGGGAACAGCCUAGAGGGUCACUUCCCCCAGUCUCUGUAGGUCUCCAGAUGUGCUGGCUGACCUCUGCCUGUGAGAGGGUGAUGGAGUUGGGAGUGUCUGAGCCACCCAGCCUGACAUCCCAGCAGCCUUCCCUGGCUGCAUCCCCCACCCCCCAACCCCCACUUCAUCACCCUCAGAUCACAGCCCUUCCCCUGACACACCCAAAGGUCCUAUCCCCCUGCCUCUGCACCUUGGAGCUUGUUCUUUCUAGCUGCUUUUAUGGGAGCGCUGCACACUUUUCCUCCUUUUAGCAGAGGUGGCAGGAGCCCGGUACUCACACAAUUCAGCCACGGCGUGCUGCUGGAACAAAGCUUGCAGUAUCAGAGGCUCAGGGUGAAGAUGCAGGCCACACCCAGGCCAGUGGGGCUUGUGGGAAAAGGAGGAGGACAAUGGAUGACAACACUGACUCUUCACAAUCGGCUCAGAGGAGGAAGAGGCCACAUCUACUUGUGUCUUCUUGGCCACAGCAACCUUAUCAUUAUCAUCUGUCGUGGGGAGGGGCUGCUAAAGGAACCCGGAGCCAACUGUGCAGUCCACAGCAGGCCAUUCUUGGAUAAAAAAACCCCACUGCAUAAUGUAGGCAUAGACACAGAUCAGGGACCUGGUAAGCAACUGUCCACCCCAGCCUGGUGAGAACCAGAGUGAUCUGGGAUUUCACAAUAAUCGCAGCUCUAAGAGGAUGGGCAGAGGGACACAGGCUGCUCAGGGAAACAGCUGGAAGGCUGAAGAACUCAGAAGAUGGUGAGACUGAUGGAGAGGGCAGGGCUCCCGGAAGGUAGGCCGCCUGCUUGCAUGGGGACAGAGCCAGCAGCUCAAGGCCAGAGGCUUUCUUCACAGUGCUUCCUGGAGCCAGGGGACCUGGGACUUUUCCCACCCAGGGAUGAGCAUGUGGCAUCACGGGCAAUAGUCCCGAAGGAAUUCCAUUUGAUGGACUUGUCCUUCUUUGCCCUAAGGACCUCAGCAUUUCCCUCAGCAGACCACCGAAGGACAGUGAUGAAGAAAGAGUACUAAGAAGUCUUGGGAGUGCUUUGCUGACCCUUCCUGAUCCCAGUGAGAUCAGGAAAGCAUGGCAUCUGGCCGUCCUGAGCUGGUGGGAAGAGUCAAGAGACAGCAGUGCAUACAAGCCUGCUCCAUGCUCUCGCACACAAAGACCUGCCAUAAUUGUUUUUUGAGGCAGUCUCUACAUAGCCCUUGUGUCCUGGAACUCGCUCAUAGAGAUCUCCCUGUCUUUGCCUCUCAAAUGCUGGGAUUAAAAGUGUGUGCCACCA